rnacentral:rRNA from 1 species
UGCCAGACUCCUACGGGAGGCAGCAGUGGGGAAUAUUGCACAAUGGGGGAAACCCUGAUGCAGCGACGCCGCGUGAGCGAUGAAGUAUUUCGGUAUGUAAAGCUCUAUCAGCAGGGAAGAAGAUGACGGUACCUGACUAAGAAGCCCCGGCUAACUACGUGCCAGCAGCCGCGGUAAUACGUAGGGGGCAAGCGUUAUCCGGAUUUACUGGGUGUAAAGGGAGCGUAGACGGCGAUGCAAGCCAGAUGUGAAAGCCCGGGGCUCAACCCCGGGACUGCAUUUGGGACUGUGUGGCUGGAGUGUCGGAGAGGCAGGCGGAAUUCCUAGUGUAGCGGUGAAAUGCGUAGAUAUUAGGAGGAACACCAGUGGCGAAGGCGGCCUGCUGGACGAUGACUGACGUUGAGGCUCGAAAGCGUGGGGAGCAAACAGGAUUAGAUACCCCCGUA